rnacentral:rRNA from 1 species
AUUGAACGCUUGCGGCAGGCUUAACACCUGCAAGUCGAACGAGUGGCGGACGGGUGAGUAAUGUUUCGGAAUCUUCCUUAUGGAGGGGGAUAACUACGGGAAACUGUAGCUAAUACCGCGUACCAUUGGAUGAGCCCAAGUGGGAUUAGCUAGUAGGUGGGGUAAAGGGUCACCUAGGCGACGAUCCCUAGCUGGUCUGAGAGGAUGACCAGCGAAACUGGGACUGAGACACGGCCCAGACGCCAACGGGAGGGAGCAGGGGGGAAUAUUGGACAAUGGGGGAAAGCCUGAUGCAGCCAUUCCGCGUGUAUGAAGAAGGCGAUGGGGUUGUAAAGUACUAUCAGCAGGGAAGCGGUACCCGGAGAAGAAGCACCGGGUAACUACGUGCCAGCAGCCGCGGUAAUUC